rnacentral:rRNA from 1 species
UACGUAGGGGGCCAGCGUUGUCCGGAAUCAUUGGGCGUAAAGCGCGCGUAGGCGGCCAGAUAAGUCCGGUGUGAAAGUCACAGGCUCGACCUGUGAAUGCCGCUGGAAACUAUCUGGCUAGAGUCCGGAAGGGGCGAGUGGAAUUCCUGGUGUAGCGGUGAAAUGCGCAGAUAUCAGGAAGAACACCCGUGGCUAAGGCGGCUCUCUAGUACGUGACUGACGCUGAGACGCGAAAGCGUGGGGAGCGAACAGG